rnacentral:rRNA from 1 species
GUGCGAAUGCUGACAUAAGUAACGAUAAAGCGGGUGAAAAGCCCGCUCGCCGGAAGACCAAGGGUUCCUGUCCAACGUUAAUCGGGGCAGGGUGAGUCGACCCCUAAGGCGAGGCCGAAAGGCGUAGUCGAUGGGAAACAGGUUAAUAUUCCUGUACUUGGUGUUACUGCGAAGGGGGGACGGAGAAGGCUAUGUUGGCCGGGCGACGGUUGUCCCGGUUUAAGCGUGUAGGCUGGUUUUCCAGGCAAAUCCGGAAAACCAAGGCUGAGGCGUGAUGACGAGGCACUACGGUGCUGAAGUGACAAAUGCCCUGCUUCCAGGAAAAGCCUCUAAGCAUCAGGUAACAUCAAAUCGUACCCCAAACCGACACAGGUGGUCAGGUAGAGAAUACCAAGGCGCUUGAGAGAACUCGGGUGAAGGAACUAGGCAAAAUGGUGCCGUAACUUCGGGAGAAGGCACGCUGAUAUGUAGGUGAAGCGACUUGCUCGUGGAGCUGAAAUCAGUCGAAGAUACCAGCUGGCUGCAACUGUUUAUUAAAAACACAGCACUGUGCAAACACGAAAGUGGACGUAUACGGUGUGACGCCUGCCCGGUGCCGGAAGGUUAAUUGAUGGGGUUAGCGGUAACGCGAAGCUCUUGAUCGAAGCCCCGGUAAACGGCGGCCGUAACUAUAACGGUCCUAAGGUAGCGAAAUUCCUUGUCGGGUAAGUUCCGACCUGCACGAAUGGCGUAAUGAUGGCCAGGCUGUCUCCACCCGAGACUCAGUGAAAUUGAACUCGCUGUGAAGAUGCAGUGUACCCGCGGCAAGACGGAAAGACCCCGUGAACCUUUACUAUAGCUUGACACUGAACAUUGAGCCUUGAUGUGUAGGAUAGGUGGGAGGCUUUGAAGUGUGGACGCCAGUCUGCAUGGAGCCGACCUUGAAAUACCACCCUUUAAUGUUUGAUGUUCUAACGUUGGCCCCUAAUCGGGGUUGCGGACAGUGUCUGGUGGGUAGUUUGACUGGGGCGGUCUCCUCCUAAAGAGUAACGGAGGAGCACGAAGGUUGGCUAAUCCUGGUCGGACAUCAGGAGGUUAGUGCAAUGGCAUAAGCCAGCUUGACUGCGAGCGUGACGGCGCGAGCAGGUGCGAAAGCAGGUCAUAGUGAUCCGGUGGUUCUGAAUGGAAGGGCCAUCGCUCAACGGAUAAAAGGUACUCCGGGGAUAACAGGCUGAUACCGCCCAAGAGUUCAUAUCGACGGCGGUGUUUGGCACCUCGAUGUCGGCUCAUCACAUCCUGGGGCUGAAGUAGGUCCCAAGGGUAUGGCUGUUCGCCAUUUAAAGUGGUACGCGAGCUGGGUUUAGAACGUCGUGAGACAGUUCGGUCCCUAUCUGCCGUGGGCGCUGGAGAACUGAGGGGGGCUGCUCCUAGUACGAGAGGACCGGAGUGGACGCAUCACUGGUGUUCGGGUUGUCAUGCCAAUGGCACUGCCCGGUAGCUAAAUGCGGAAGAGAUAAGUGCUGAAAGCAUCUAAGCACGAAACUUGCCCCGAGAUGAGUUCUCCCUGAGACUUAGAGUCUCCUGAAGGAACGUUGAAGACGACGACGUUGAUAGGCCGGGUGUGUAAGCGCAGCGAUGCGUUGAGCUAACCGGUACUAAUGAACCGUGAGGCUUAACCUUACAACGCCGAAG